rnacentral:tRNA from 1 species
GGGGAUGUAGCUCAGGGGCAGAACAUUUGCCUGGUGUGCACAAGGCCUUAGGUUCAAUCCCUAACACUGUCC